UUAUUUAGUUCCUUGGAUACAGUCCUGAGG
rnacentral:piRNA from 1 species